AUAUACCUGCCCUGUUCGUGAUUCGGUAAAAGUGUUGAUCCGGCAAAUUAGAUAGUUUGGGAGCCGGGUAUAAGACUGGCGGUGUGCAGGUCUCCGUACGGAGAAAGCCUAAGCGGUCUUCGGGGCACCCACCUGUAGAUAAUACGGGAUCUAAUUUUUACCACACGGCAGGGUGGGUACACA
rnacentral:other from 1 species